rnacentral:lncRNA from 1 species
AGAGGUCUAAUUGGAGCUGUAGCUGCUGGCUAUGCCAGAGCCACAGCAACGCGGGAUCCUUAACCCACUGAACGAGGCCAGGGAUUGAACCUGCAACUUCAUUGUUCCUAGUUGGAUUCGUUAACCACUGAGCCACGACAGGAACUCCCCCUUUGGAGAUUCUUAAGGAGAUACAAAAAGGCAGAGGAUGGAGACUGCCGGGACCAGCUCAGCAGGUGAGGGCUGAAGAACGGGUGCUGUGAAACUUAAGAAAAGGUUAACAUAAAACAAGACACAGAGACAUUUAUCUUAAUCGAAAGUGGGAACCGGGGGACUCAAGGUCUCAGGGACUAAGAGCGCCACCUCAAGAAACCACAGUGCUUGUGUUCUUUAGGAUCACGUCAAGGGAGGAGGGGCUGUAGGUGCGGAAUAUAGUUUUUUUAUUUUUUUUUUAAAGUCACACAGCUGGUAGCUGGUUAAGCUUUUACUCUGACCUUUAGGCAUUUAACAGUCAUUAGCAUUGAGGAAGCCUAGUGUCAGCUGUCUAUGCAUAGCAUCUAGAGAAUCACCAUUGUGCUUCCGCAGACAGCGUGCCUAUCUGCAGCAACCCGGCAUGCCUAGGUUUGCACCUGUUCUCCUUGCUGAUGCAUAUCCUGCUAACGACCCCUCAUAAACCCCUUGGGCCAUGAGGCUUAUCUUCCUCUUAUUCUCAACAGGACCUAUCAUGCUGUGCAAACGCUGUGCCUAUCUGCACAGGUCCUCAUGCCUAGACCAACUCAUUAUGUCCUCAUUCAGCUGACCACAUGAAUAACUUAUGCCCUUAGGUCUUUGUUCUUAAGCUGAAGCUACUUACCAGCACUGUGACUGUUUUUUAAGCAGGAAUAUAGGGUAAAGGGAAAGCAGGACAAGAUGGAAUUUUUAGCAUAGACCAUAAAAGCAGAGAAGCUAAGAAAAGAUUGUAGAAACAUGUCUCCCAACAGCAGACCAUGCAACUUGGUAGAUGGACUUGAUCUAGAGGACAUAAUACAAACUAAUAAAGUGACCUUGCCAAGUAGGAUCUAGGGGGUAUUUUGGUUUAGAAGUGUUGUUCCUUUAGGGCAGUUCUGUUAAUAACUAGCAAUCUCCCCUGUUCUCUGGAGAUUUUAACAACAUUAAGGUGGUUUUGUUCCAGGUCCACACAUCUUCAUUUGGCUUUGUCUCUGUGGUUUGUGGAUGAUGCUCACCCAUGUCCCUUGCUGGCCCCUGCUGGUCAACACUAUUUCGGUUGUUCCCCCUACAUUAGCGCUUACAGAAAGUUUGUUGUGUACUCUGCCUCUCUGUCUAAAACUGUAAAGAUCAGGCUUUAAUACACACAGACUUCUGCCUCCAUUAUAGAGUCUUAAUCAAUUUGGCUUUCUUUAUUUCUUUGUUAUGAGAUCUAUUGUCUUCUGAUUACAAAAGAAAUACAUGCCCAUUGUAGAACUCAAUUGAUUUUCUAGCGCUUUUAUUGUAAAAUUUGCAUGCCCUGUGAAUGCCAUCUAGCUAAUUCGGGAGAUGCUGGAGGGGCAGCUCUCCUUGAAUGCAAAUCCGUCUGUGCAGCCUCUGCUGGUGAAAGGACUUCUGGGGAAAAUGGCUGAGUGCUGCCUGGACAACCUUUCUUAUUGCACAAACGUCUUUCCCCUAUAGUGGUUUGCUGUCCCUCUCUUUCAGACAUGCUUUUAGCAGCAACAGCUGGAAUGAAAAGGCAUUCACAUCCCGGAAAAUGUGGUCUUCGUUGCUUACUCGUUUUGUGCUCUCCACUUGGACAGCUCACAUGUGAUUCGAAGGGCUACCUCGAUUGUGUACAGAUUUGUAGUGCCUUCAUGUGCUAAUUUUGUGGGGCUGACUCUGAUUUCUGAGUAUGCCCGCAUACUGCGCUUACAUUUGUUUGGUCAGAGUAGGAAAAACUAGGGGGUUAACAAAGACCAGUUACUACUCAUACCUUCUUCCUCCCCUGAACUCAUUAAGUGCUAUGGGUCAUAAUCAUGGAAAUUACCUGUUCUCAUAAAUGCCAGGGAGAAAAGAAUAACUUCUAUGCAACAUCCUGUCUGGAGUUCCCAUUGUGGUGUAGUGGAAACCAAUCCAACUAGGAACCAUGAGGUUGAGGGUUUGAUUCCUGGCCUCACUCGGUGGGUUAAGGAUCCAGUAUUGCCGUGAGCUGUGGUGUAGUUCACAGAUGCGGCUCGGAUCCUGCAUUGCUGUGGCUGUGGUGGAGGCCUGCAGCUGUAGUCCCAAUUGGACCCCUAGCCUUUGAACCUCCAUGUGCCAUGGGUGAGGCCC